rnacentral:rRNA from 1 species
UACGUAGGGACCGAGCGUUGUCCGGAGUUACUGGGCGUAAAGCGCGCGCAGGCGGCCGACCGCGUCGGGUGUGAAAGCCCUCCGCUCAACGGAGGAGAGUCGCUCGAAACGGGUUGGCUGGAGGCAGGGAGAGGUCGGUGGAAUUCCCGGUGUAGUGGUGAUAUGCGUAGAUAUCGGGAGGAACACCAGUGGCGAAGGCGGCCGACUGGACCUGACCUGACGCUGAGGCGCGAAGGCGUGGGGAGCGAACGGG